ensembl:lncRNA SCN1A-AS1 SCN1A and SCN9A antisense RNA 1
GCGGGCCCGCCAGCGCCAACCGCAGCCGCGGUUCCCGCCCGCGCCUCUCCCUCCACACCUCCCCGCAAGCAGAGGGAGCCGGCUCCGGCCUUGGCCAGCCCAGAGACAGGCUCCCACAGUGCAGCGGCGGGCUGAAGGGCUCCUCAAGCACUGCCAGAGUGGACACCGAGGCCGAGGAGACGCCAAGAGCGAUGAAACAAGCUUCUGGUUCAAGAGUUUCUUCAGGUUCCACUACGGGCUGUUCUUCUACAGGUGCGCCGAUGUCCACAGUGCUACCUUCUGAUGAGCUACUGCUUUCAUUCAGUUUCUGCUGACUUAAUAUGUGAGCUGACAGAAUGCAGAGACCACGUUGUAUAUGAAGCAUCCACUUUGCCUUGUACACCAGGGCAUUCAAUAACCACUUAAUAACUACAACCCUGAUGAUCCGAUUCACUACUAAAGUCUUCCGUGUUUAAAUUUUCAAAGUCAGAUUCUCCUACAGCAAUUGGCCCAGUUCCCCUUCCUAGAGGCAACUACUACUACUUAUCUCCCAUAUAUAUUUCCAGGAGUGAUGGUGAGGAGGAAUUGUGCCAGCUUGCUUCUUCACUGCCAUUUUGGAACCAGAACUCAGAACCUGAGAAAGAUGAAUGAAAUUUAGUGUUUCCCAUCCCCGAGAGACACCCAGCAUCCACAACUUCACACUCUGAUGCCAUUGUGUAUUUAUGCAAGAAAUACCAUAACUAAGAUGAGGUCUCGCUAUGUUGCCUAGGCUAGUCUUGAACUCCUGGCCUCAAGUGAUCCUUCUGCCUCAGCAUCGGGAGUCACUGGGAUUAAAGGCAUGAGCCACCAUGCUCAGAAUACAAACAAAGACCCAUUUUCUAGAAGAAGUAACAGGGAAGAGAGAGUAAGAAAGAGAUAAUGAUGAACAUUGUCUAAUGUUACAGCAUAAUCUAGUAAGGAACUUGACAUCAUCAGACAGUAAAUCAAGAGGUACUGACAACUGAGACUGAGUGAUGGUCCCUGCCUAGGAUUUGGAAUCUUUGCAUGAAAUAGGGACUCUAGCCACCAGCGACAAAGAAGUCAGGGAGACUGCGGUCUCUAGGAAGCACUUCCAGGAAACAGGAAUUCAGGCAAAGUUGGACAUUCCAAAGAUGGCGUAGAUGAACAUGACCAGGAAGAGCAGGAGGCCGAUGUUAAACAACGCAGGAAGGGACAUCAUCAAAGCAAAGAGCAGCGUGCGGAUCCCCUUUGCUCCUUUGACUAGACGUAGGAUUCGGCCAAUCCUGGCAAGACGGAUCACUCGGAACAGGGUAGCAGAGAUCUCUGGAGGUGAAACAUUGCUCUGAACUGGCAUUGAUUCUAGCCCAGCUCUUGUAGACCAAUUACCAACUUCUCCAUCUCCCUCCAGUGCCUGGAACUGGACCUGGCACACAGGCCUCUGGCUCAUCGGAAUUCAUAGGUUCAGCCUCUGCUUCUUCUCCUUCUCCAGGCAAAGGGUUAUCAACUGUGCUGCACUCUGAGGAGCUUGACCGGUUUAAUCUCUAGAAAGGAAUUCACCACCCCACCAGCACGCGGAACACAAUCAGGAAGGAGUGGAAGAAGUCGUUCAUGUGCCACCGUGGGAGCGUACAGUCAUCAUUGAUCUUGCAGACACAUUCUUUGUAGCUCUUACCAAAGAGCUGCAUGCCGACCACAGCAAAAAUGAAGACGAUGAUGGCCAACACUAAGCCUUUAGACUAAAAAGAAAACAAAUAUUACAUACCCUGAAUCUGUGCUGAAACCACAAAGGAGAGCAUCUUUGGAUCCUUCCAAGUAAUAAAAAUAUUCUGUUGAAGAAGAAUUUGAACAGUUAUAACAUCACAGACUUUAAUCUGUGAUUGUGAUAAAGGAGGUCAAAUUAAAAAAUCUGAUUAUUGGGAGACUUUUGGAGUAAUCAUGGAAGAAAGACUAUGAAAUCAGAUAUUCUUGGAUUUGAAUGUUGCUUCUAUCCCUUCUUAAAGAAGCAGAGCUGGUGGAGAAUUCCCUGGCUGGAUUCAUCAGUCUUUGCUAUGGACAAGAGAAUACACAUAAGAAGAUAUUGAGACUUCCACGUUAAUCAAACUGAAAAGUAAGACAAGGAAUUCCAAAUCAGAGCCUAUUUUAGAACUAUGAGCAUUCAACUGAAAACGGGUCUCCAGAUUUCUGUGCUGCUCCAUUCUGUUGCCACCAACAAUUGAUAAUUGGUAUCAUUUUUGUGCAAGUGAGAUGUGCCUUGUUAGUGCUUUUUAACUUGAGUGUUU